GGGGUCUUGGCACAGUGGUAGCGCGCAUGCUUCGCAUUCAGCAUUGCAUGAGGUCGUGAGUUCAAUCCUCACAGGCUCCA